rnacentral:rRNA from 1 species
CCUACGAGAGGCAGCAGUGGGGGAUAUUGCACAAUGGGGGAAACCCUGAUGCAGCGACGCCGCGUGAGUGAAGAAGUAUUUCGGUAUGUAAAGCUCUAUCAGCAGGGAAGAAAAUGACAGUACCUGACCAAGAAGCCCCGGCUAACUACGUGCCAGCAGCCGCGGUAAUACGUAGGGGGCAAGCGUUAUCCGGAUUUAAUGGGGGUCAAGGUAGGGUAGACGGUUGUGGAAGGCGUGAGGGAAAGCCCGGGGCCCACCCCCGGGACGGCUUUGGAAACUGUGUAAGGGGAGUACAGGAGGGGCAGGCGGAAGUCCUGGUGGAGCGGUGAAAUGCGUAGCUAUCAGGAGGAACAGCGGCGGUGAGGGCGGCCUGCUGGACUGAAACGGACGUUGAGGCGCGAAAGCGUGGGGAGCAAACAGGAUUAGAUACCCGUGUAGUC